rfam:Streptomyces glauciniger strain CGMCC 4.1858 genome assembly, contig: Ga0079895_138
GCCGGUCCUCGGUAGUGGCCCCCGGGCAGCACGUACGUCCCGGUGGCUUCGAUCGAAGACCGGC